rnacentral:rRNA from 14 species
GGUAAUGGAACAAUACUUUGCUUGCGACAGUACCCAUCAACCAAAGUGUGUGUUUGUAACUUCGUUGUUGGCUUUUCAUAUCCUAUCUUAUCCUGGCCUGGACAUAUGCAAGAGCAUCCAAGGAAGGGUAGCUGAGUUUA